GGCGGGGUAGCUCAGUUGGCCAGAGCAGUGGGAUCAUAAUCCAUUGGUCGGGGGUUCGAAUCCCUCCCUCGCUACCA
rnacentral:tRNA from 1 species